rnacentral:rRNA from 1 species
ACGGAAGGCAGCAGUGGGGAAUAUUGGGCAAUGGGCGAAAGCCUGACCCAGCAACGCCGCGUGAAGGAAGAAGGUUUUCGGAUUGUAAACUCCUGUCUUAAAGGACGAUAAUGACGGUACUUUAGGAGGAAGCUCCGGCUAACUACGUGCCAGCAGCCGCGGUAAUACGUAGGGAGCGAGCGUUGUCCGGAAUUACUGGGUGUAAAGGGAGCGUAGGCGGGAUUGCAAGUCAGAUGUGAAAACUAUGGGCUCAACCCAUAGACUGCAUUUGAAACUGUAGUUCUUGAGUGAAGUAGAGGUAAGCGGAAUUCCUGGUGUAGCGGUGAAAUGCGUAGAUAUCAGGAGGAACACCGGUGGCGAAGGCGGCUUACUGGGCUUUUACUGACGCUGAGGCUCGAAAGCGUGGGGAGCAAACAGGAUUAGAUACCCUGGUA